rnacentral:rRNA from 1 species
AUACGUAGGGUGCGAGCGUUGUCCGGAAUUACUGGGCGUAAAGAGCUCGUAGGUGGUUUGUCGCGUCGUCUGUGAAAUUCCGGGGCUUAACUCCGGGCGUGCAGGCGAUACGGGCAUAACUUGAGUACUGUAGGGGAGACUGGAAUUCCUGGUGUAGCGGUGAAAUGCGCAGAUAUCAGGAGGAACACCGGGGGCGAAGGCGGGUCUCGGGGCAGAAACGGACGCUGAGGAGCGAAAGCAUGGGUAGCGAACAGGAUUAGAUCCCCUGGUAGGCCAUGCCGUAAACGGUGGGCGCUAGGUGUAGGGGUCUUCCACGACUUCUGUGCCGUAGCUAACGCAUUAAGCGCCCCGCCUGGGGAGUACGGCCGCAAGGCUAAAACUCAAAGGAAUUGACGGGG